UGGGCUACAAACGUAAUACAAUGGCGUAUACAAAGGGAUGCGAAAGGGCGACCUGGAGCAAAACUCACAAAGUAACGUCUCAGUUCAGAUUGGAGUCUGCAACUCGACUCCAUGAAGGCGGAAUCGCUAGUAAUCGCGGAUCAGCAUGCCGCGGUGAAUACGUUCUCGGGUUU
rnacentral:rRNA from 1 species